rnacentral:rRNA from 1 species
UAGUGGCGAACGGGUGAGUAACACGUGGGCAAUCUGCCCUUCACUCUGGGACAAGCCCUGGAAACGGGGUCUAAUACCGGAUACAACCACUGACCUCAUGGUCGGGUGGUGGAAAGCUCCGGCGGUGAAGGAUGAGCCCGCGGCCUAUCAGCUUGUUGGUGAGGUAAUGGCUCACCAAGGCGACGACGGGUAGCCGGCCUGAGAGGGCGACCGGCCACACUGGGACUGAGACACGGCCCAGACUCCUACGGGAGGCAGCAGUGGGGAAUAUUGCACAAUGGGCGAAAGCCUGAUGCAGCGACGCCGCGUGAGGGAUGACGGCCUUCGGGUUGUAAACCUCUUUCAGCAGGGAAGAAGCGAAAGUGACGGUACCUGCAGAAGAAGCGCCGGCUAACUACGUGCCAGCAGCCGCGGUAAUACGUAGGGCGCAAGCGUUGUCCGGAAUUAUUGGGCGUAAAGAGCUCGUAGGCGGCUUGUCACGUCGGGUGUGAAAGCCCGGGGCUUAACCCCGGGUCUGCAUUCGAUACGGGCUAGCUAGAGUGUGGUAGGGGAGAUCGA